GACGUAGGGCGCGAGCGUUGUCCGGAUUUAUUGGGCGUAAAGAGCUCGUAGGCGGCUUGUCGCGUCGUUCGUGAAAACCCGGGGCUCAACUCCGGGCCUGCAGCCGAUACGGGCAGACUAGAGUUCGGCAGGGGAGACUGGAAUUCCUGGUGUAGCGGUGAAAUGCGCAGAUAUCAGGAGGAACACCGGUGGCGAAGGCGGGUCUCUGGGCCGAUACUGACGCUGAGGAGCGAAAGCGUGGGGAGCGAACAGG
rnacentral:rRNA from 1 species